rnacentral:lncRNA from 1 species
UAAUAUGGUAUUUGUGCAAAUUAAAUAAAUGUGCAUAAUUAAUUACGGAUUGCUAAUGGAGCCCGAACCGAAAAUUGUUCUAUGUUGAUUUCUGUUGAUUUAUUUUACAGUCUAAAAGUAUGAUAGUAUCUGGUUUAUAACUUUAAUGAUUUGAAUGCAUGAAUUGCUACCUUACGUGACUACUGUUUGAUUGGAAAAUUGAGAUAUGAUUGCAUUCCCUGAUGCAUGUUUGUUUGCUUAUGUGAUCAUGGUUGAUUUGGAAAAUGGAGACUAAAAAAAACGGGAAAGUUGUGUGGUUAAAUAAAUAUAUGGAACGACACCUUACUAGAUAUCCUGGAAGAUGGUGGAUGGACCGGUACAUAGGGAACCCUACCGUGAACGUUGUCCCAUACCGGACGGGGUAUAGAGACUUGGUAAUUUGGCGCUCAUACCGGACGGGGUAUGGGGACGGCUCGCUUCACCCUCAUACCGGAUGGGGUAUUGAGGUUUAAUAAUUUGGCACUCAUACCGGACGGGAUAUGGGGAUGGCCUAUAAUUGAGAUUGUUAAAGGAAAGGGGUCACAUGUAGCAAGGACAUCCCUAUGAACCCCCAUGGAUACUAGCAGGUUGGUGAAAAGGUGACAGUUAUUGUUUGGUUACUUGACGAUGUGUAUAGAUUUAUGAUAUAUGCUAUGUUGUUGAUCUUACAUGAAAUUAUGAUCUAUAUGAUAUUAUUGUCUG